CAUAGCAAAGAGAGGGAGGGAAGAGAACGCGAUCCGCUUCGGCUUCCUUUUUUCGCGCCUUUUACUGUUCCUGAGAGUUCCAAAAUCGAAAUCGAUUGCCCUAAUUUGCACUCUCAUUUUCGAUUUUUCUUCGCGAUGAUUUGGUGGAGGAUUCUUUGGCGGUUAGCGGAUCACAGAUGCUGCUCUCGGACCUUCGAUUUUAGGAUGAGGCUCGUAGCUGUUGUUGCGCAAGAGGUUUCUGAACAGAAAUUGCUAUGGCGAUACUCUUAGCGUUUUCGAAUUGCUAUAUGCUUUUCGAUAUAAUGAAAUGCGGUCUGGUGCUCGCGAUCUUCUAAUAUUUUACGUAUCAUCCGUGUUGUAAUGAUAUCUGGAGGUCUACAGUGUAAAAUCUCGAUUAAACGAUUGUUCGCAUGGACUGACGCUGGUAGCUGAUUGCAGGCGAUGACUACUUCAUUGGCCUUGUUUUUCGUGAUAAACGAGUCAUGAGAAACUGGAGGUGGUUUGUCUGUGCAAUUGGAAGAACUUUUCGAUUUUCGUCGAUAGCAUAAUGUUUUAUGUUGAGGUGAAAUAAAACUGAACUAAAAGAUUUAAUCUAAUCCAAUCAUAAGAAAUUAUUUGUAAUUUUCCUGCGUCAUUUUUUUCUUUGGUUCUCAAGAGGUAGCGUUGAGGAACUUUUUCAUUUUCACGAGUUUUCAAGCUAAACCAGAAUUCCUUCUUACUGCCUACUUCAAUGUCCAAGACCAUGAUUCCUAAUUGUGGAGCUCAUAGUUUGGUUCACAUUAUAAAAUCGUACCUAGAACUGAUAUAUCUUUUUUUAUUACUAACUUGGUACAAAAAAUAGUGUUGAAGGAAAAUAGAGGUUAUCAGCCAGCACACCUUGAGUUGAAUGUAUCUAUCUUCCAGAGAUGAUGGAACUUGAGGUACAGUUUUUCAUUAAAAAAAAAAAAAAUUGAGGUCCAGUUUGUGUACUUGUUUAUGGUUCCACUGUUCUGUUAUCAUGAAAAUACUCCUUGUUUGGCAGCACGUUAUUUUAUUUUGCAAGAAAUCUCUGUUUCGUACCUUGUCAUUUUUAGGGUAAAAAAUGAUAAAAAAGUCCUGUGUUUAUCAGGUAUCUCCUGUUUCAAAAAGGUAAUGGAGCAUGUUUUAAGUAAGUGGCCUUUUGGUAACAUCUGGUUUCUCCAUAUCCAAUAUGUGAUGUUGGUUCACUGGGUUGCUAUAACCCAUUCUUAAGAAAGAUUAUUUUUAUUCAAUUGAGUUGCUACUUCUAUAAGUAAUUUGGUUUUAAUUUACUUGCUCUGUGAUUCAUUGUAGUCAAUCAUGUGAAAUAUUUUGUCAUUAGUUAUACGACACAUCCACUACUAAUUUAAUUCUAACCAUACCUGGUUGUAAAUUAAUGAUGCAAGGAAAGUAUACUCUUGGCCUUUGUGGUUCAUAUCUUUUGGGAGUCUAAUACUCAACUCCUCGUCCUAGUGGCUGUCGAAGCUCGGCCUGCAGGUGAUCGGCUUUGGUACGAAUGAGUCCAUACCGUUCUCAUAACACUCAUCUGCGCUUUCUGACAGUGCGUUCGCCGUCAUCUGCAGUACUCACAGCAAUGAUGGACAUCCUCUGACGGGAGGACGAUGGGGUC